AUCCUACGGGGGGCAGCAGUGGGGAAUAUUGCACGAUGGGGGAAACCCUGAUGCAGCGACGCCGCGUGAGCGAUGAAGUAUUUCGGUAUGUAAAGCUCUAUCAGCAGGGAAGAAAAUGACGGUACCUGACUAAGAAGCCCCGGCUAACUACGUGCCAGCAGCCGCGGUAAUACGUAGGGGGCAAGCGUUAUCCGGAUUUACUGGGUGUAAAGGGAGCGUAGACGGCCGUUCAAGCCAGAUGUGAAAGCCCGGGGCUCAACCCCGGGACUGCAUUUGGAACUGGGUGGCUAGAGUGUCGGAGAGGG
rnacentral:rRNA from 1 species